ACGGGGCUAAACCAUGCACCGAAGCUGCGGCAGCGACGCUGAUGCGUUGUUGGGUAGGGGAGCGUUCUGUAAGCCUGCGAAGGUGUGCUGUGAGGCAUGCUGGAGGUAUCAGAAGUGCGAAUGCUGACAUAAGUAACGAUAAAGCGGGUGAAAAGCCCGCUCGCCGGAAGACCAAGGGUUCCUGUCCAACGUUAAUCGGGGCAGGGUGAGUCGACCCCUAAGGCGAGGCCGAAAGGCGUAGUCGAUGGGAAACAGGUUAAUAUUCCUGUACUUGGUGUUACUGCGAAGGGGGGACGGAGAAGGCUAUGUUGGCCGGGCGACGGUUGUCCCGGUUUAAGCGUGUAGGCUGGUUUUCCAGGCAAAUCCGGAAAAUCAAGGCUGAGGCGUGAUGACGAGGCACUGCGGUGCUGAAGCAACAAAUGCCCUGCUUCCAGGAAAAGCCUCUAAGCAUCAGGUAACAUCAAAUCGUACCCCAAACCGACACAGGUGGUCAGGUAGAGAAUACCAAGGCGCUUGAGAGAACUCGGGUGAAGGAACUAGGCAAAAUGGUGCCGUAACUUCGGGAGAAGGCACGCUGAUAUGUAGGUGAAGUCCCUCGCGGAUGGAGCUGAAAUCAGUCGAAGAUACCAGCUGGCUGCAACUGUUUAUUAAAAACACAGCACUGUGCAAACACGAAAGUGGACGUAUACGGUGUGACGCCUGCCCGGUGCCGGAAGGUUAAUUGAUGGGGUUAGCGCAAGCGAAGCUCUUGAUCGAAGCCCCGGUAAACGGCGGCCGUAACUAUAACGGUCCUAAGGUAGCGAAAUUCCUUGUCGGGUAAGUUCCGACCUGCACGAAUGGCGUAAUGAUGGCCAGGCUGUCUCCACCCGAGACUCAGUGAAAUUGAACUCGCUGUGAAGAUGCAGUGUACCCGCGGCAAGACGGAAAGACCCCGUGAACCUUUACUAUAGCUUGACACUGAACAUUGAGCCUUGAUGUGUAGGAUAGGUGGGAGGCUUUGAAGUGUGGACGCCAGUCUGCAUGGAGCCGACCUUGAAAUACCACCCUUUAAUGUUUGAUGUUCUAACGUUGACCCGUAAUCCGGGUUGCGGACAGUGUCUGGUGGGUAGUUUGACUGGGGCGGUCUCCUCCUAAAGAGUAACGGAGGAGCACGAAGGUUGGCUAAUCCUGGUCGGACAUCAGGAGGUUAGUGCAAUGGCAUAAGCCAGCUUGACUGCGAGCGUGACGGCGCGAGCAGGUGCGAAAGCAGGUCAUAGUGAUCCGGUGGUUCUGAAUGGAAGGGCCAUCGCUCAACGGAUAAAAGGUACUCCGGGGAUAACAGGCUGAUACCGCCCAAGAGUUCAUAUCGACGGCGGUGUUUGGCACCUCGAUGUCGGCUCAUCACAUCCUGGGGCUGAAGUAGGUCCCAAGGGUAUGGCUGUUCGCCAUUUAAAGUGGUACGCGAGCUGGGUUUAGAACGUCGUGAGACAGUUCGGUCCCUAUCUGCCGUGGGCGCUGGAGAACUGAGGGGGGCUGCUCCUAGUACGAGAGGACCGGAGUGGACGCAUCACUGGUGUUCGGGUUGUCAUGCCAAUGGCACUGCCCGGUAGCUAAAUGCGGAAGAGAUAAGUGCUGAAAGCAUCUAAGCACGAAACUUGCCCCGAGAUGAGUUCUCCCUGACUCCUUGAGAGUCCUGAAGGAACGUUGAAGACGACGACGUUGAUAGGCCGGGUGUGUAAGCGCAGCGAUGCGUUGAGCUAACCGGUACUAAUGAACCGUGAGG
rnacentral:rRNA from 1 species